GGAAGAGUAUCGAAGUGGUUGUAACGAGCUGCUCUCGAAAAGCAGUUGUCCGCAAGGGCACGUGGGUUCGAAUCCCACCUCUUCCGCCA
rnacentral:tRNA from 1 species